rnacentral:rRNA from 1 species
UACGUAGGGUGCGAGCGUUGUCCGGAAUUACUGGGCGUAAAGAGCUCGUAGGUGGUUUGUCGCGUUGUUCGUGAAAACUCACAGCUCAACUGUGGGCGUGCGGGCGAUACGGGCAGACUGGAGUACUGCAGGGGAGACUGGAAUUCCUGGUGUAGCGGUGGAAUGCGCAGAUAUCAGGAGGAACACCGGUGGCGAAGGCGGGUCUCUGGAACGGUACUGACGCUGGAGGCGCGAAAGCGUGGGGAGCGAACAGG